GACGGAGGGUGCAAGCGUUGUUCGGAAUUACUGGGCGUAAAGGGCGCGUAGGCGGUCUGUUAAGUUCGGUGUGAAAGCCCCCGGCUCACCUGGGGAACUGCGCCGGGAACCGACAGACUCGAGUACCGGAGAGGAGGGUGGAAUUCCUGGUGUAGCGGUGAAAUGCGUAGAUAUCAGGUGGAACACCAGUGGCGAAGGCGGCUUUCUGGACGGUAACUGACGCUGAGACGCGAAAGCGUGGGGAGCAAACAGG
rnacentral:rRNA from 1 species